CCUACGGGAGGCAGCAGUGGGGAAUAUUGGGCAAUGGGCGCAAGCCUGACCCAGCAACGCCGCGUGAAGGAAGAAGGCUUUCGGGUUGUAAACUUCUUUUAAGAGGGAAGAGCAGAAGACGGUACCUCUUGAAUAAGCCACGGCUAACUACGUGCCAGCAGCCGCGGUAAUACGUAGGUGGCAAGCGUUGUCCGGAUUUACUGGGUGUAAAGGGUGCGCAGGCGGAGGUGCAAGUCAGCGGUCAAAUUGCGGGGCUCAACCCCGUACUGCCGUUGAAACUGCAUCCCUUGAGUGCGCGAGAAGUAUGCGGAAUGCGUGGUGUAGCGGUGAAAUGCAUAGAUAUCACGCAGAACUCCGAUUGCGAAGGCAGCAUACCGGCGCGCAACUGACGCUCAUGCACGAAAGCGUGGGUAUCGAACAGGAUUAGAUACCCUUGUAGUC
rnacentral:rRNA from 1 species